AGAAGACCCAGCAGUAGAAUACCUUACAUGACCAAUAGCCAAAUCGCCAGGGAGUUGGUCAAGUUUCGAUUCACUAAACACAUCAGAGACCAACCCAACACCUGUAAUCGACUUGAGAACGUUAUCAUUAACGCAAACAAUGCCGGCGCCUUCUUGGCCACGGUGUUGAAGCGCGUGAAGGGCUAAAUAGCAAAGACGAGAAGCU
rnacentral:misc_RNA from 1 species